rnacentral:rRNA from 1 species
UACAGAGGUCUCAACCGUUGUUCGGAUUUAUUGGGCGUAAAGGGUGCGUAGGCGGUCGGGUAAGUCAGACGUGAAAUCCCUCGGCUUAACCGGGGAACUGCGUCUGAUACUGGAUGGCUUGAGUUUGGGAGAGGGACGCGGAAUUCCAGGUGUAGCGGUGAAAUGCGUAGAUAUCUGGAGGAACACCGGUGGCGAAGGCGGCGUCCUGGACCAACACUGACACUGAUGAGCGAAAGCCAGGGGAGCAAACGGG